GGUUUGUCCCCUGAUGACACGCGUCGUAUAGUUUGGAAAUGAGGCCAAUGUCCUGAACCAAAUUUCACACAUGUGAUGUACUAGAUGUGGGGAAAACUCUAAAUAAUAGGCAUCUUGAAGUAUUGCCCAGUUUCAUGAAAAUUAAAGUUUAAAUUCCAGAUGUAACACUGAGCAAGUGUUUCUCAAACCCAAGUGGGUUGUUAUACAGAUCUUUAAUCCAAAGAUCAUGCUUAAAACGUUAUUUAACACCUUAAUGCAUGACACUGAUUAAUGCUGCAGUCACACAGGGAUCCUCUUGUUUCAAAAUACAAGUAUCCUUGAAAUGAGAGGUCAAUGAAAUUGAGAAAAAUGCCAAGAUGACAUAGAAAGAAAGGGCUUAUUAAAAUGUUUUUGGUGACAGCUAUAUGGCAAUAUCUAAAACUGGCAUUUUUCCCCACCAGCAUUGAAUAUUUCUUUAUAAAAUAAAUAAAUAAAUAAAUAAAUAAUUUCCCUGUGAAGAUUUUUGUACAAGAAUUGCAUUUUUAAAGUCCCCUCCCCUCCCCCGGAACCAUGAAUGUUAAAUAGCUAUUACCCACACCAGAUUCUAUACCUGCACUUGGAGGCCUCUGAGCACACACACACACACACACACACACACACACACACACGUCAUACUCCCUCAGAGGGACACGGUGACUUUUCCCCAGAGGUUAGCUCAGUGGCACCCCCUCUUUCUCCAGGUCACCCCUCAGCCAUCCCCCUGACUUCAUGUUUCGCGUUCCUGAGAAUCAUCGGUCUUCCUUUUGGCUAUGUCACUCAACCGCCACCUCAUAGGAACCUUCUUCCUCUCCCCUGUGACCCUGGGAUCUUGGGCCCAGAAGCUCCCACAUUCCCUACAUGGGGGGAGAAGGAGGUGUGAAGCUCGGAUGGAAGGAACAGCCCUUGAGAGCCAGUGCUGAGGAAAGAACCUUCCAUGCCUUCCAUUGCGGCCUUUGAUGCUGUUCUUUCCUCCAGAAACAGGGAGGAAACUCGAAGUUGCGGCCGCAUCACCCGCCCAGUGGGAUGAAGAGGAGUGUUCCUUCCACCAACUGCAGUUAAAUUUCAGCAUUUCAUGUUCCUGAUGGUCGUCCAUCCUGGGUUGUUCACAAUAUCCUGCACAUGCUCUGAGGACCCAGUUAGCAGAAAUUCAUUGAAGACUACUUCAACUCCACACAGGGAGGACCAAAGAUGCUCAGAAUUUCCUGGAAUGAAGGUUUAGGUUAUGAAGCCUGAUCAGCUGGGAUGCUGAGGGCAAAGCAAACAGGAGACACGGAGAGAAGGAGGAAGUUCACAAAGAAGGAGCAUGACUCACAAUUUGUUUCAGAAAUGAUGACCCAUUGAUUUUUUUUUCUGGUUCUGUUAUAGGCUAAUUUAUUAUUUUUUUCUGUAUGGCGUGCCUGUCUUAUAUCAGGUGGGUCAUUGGUAGGUAAGUUACAAUUUAGUCCUUAGUCAUAAGGUAUCAAGUAGUGGUCAUGGCUGAAGCAUAAGAUAAACAGUUAGAAAUCAAAAACUAUGAAACACACUCUUAAAUUUGCAAACUGGAAUGAUAUAUUUAAUUAGACAUCAUCUGUAACAGAAUUAUACACUGGGCAGUAAUCAUUAUGAAUUGUGAGGAGCAAGGAAGUCAGUAUAAUCUAAUUCACUUCCAUAAUUAAAGGAAGUACCCAGAGGGCUUGAACAACGGUGAUAAAUUCAAUACUUCUCGAUACAGCCAUUCACAAAGCUUUUAUUUCUGUACCAUAUACUAGUCUCUGUUAAAUGGGAAAAGGGUAAUA